AUUGGGGUCGCAGAAUCUGAUAGGUCACACAUUUUGGUGUCACACCGGAAACGACACAAGCUCGACUGGCCGCGGCUCCAUUACUGGAAUUCUGUGAAUCUGAGCAAUAGGAACCACAUCACUUUACUCUGCAAGGCUGAACAUCACACACACGUAGUUCAGAGAUGCAGCGUAAAUUGCCGUGACAGCAGCCCUCGAUUAACACCUAUCCACCUUUCCGUAAGUGGGUCGUAAGAAGUUGAGAUGGAGAACAGCAGUCAGCAGAUGCUGUUCCAUCUCCUUCUGAUGCUUCAUGGCCAGCUGCAGACACACCAGGGACAAAGGCAUCUUGUCCUGGCUGAUGGCUUUACUGUUUUCCAUGGACAUCUUGGCCUGGUUGGCACGCAUCUCUUUGCUCUGCCUAAAAUCGUGGAACAAGAAGCCACAUGUACUAUGAAUACAGUGAUGAAGCAGCGGUCAGUGGAAGAUGAAAGGUGAAGCCGGCUCCGUCGCUCUCUUCUUGUCCCUCUGAGCAUCAAUGGCUGUCCGGAAUAAGCAGCAGCCUCUUUGCAUUACCAACAGACAGUAUAACUGAAGUUUCAGAUGACCUGACCUGUACGCUGCAGGUUGCAGCAAUGACGCCAUCCACCGGUGUCUCUGAGAAAGGGUCAAACAUCCUGUCUGACCGCCGCAUGAAGUCGGGCUUCAGCAGGGACAGGAUUAGAGCCGAGGGACGGAGAGAGGGAGAGAUGGAUGACGGCAGAGAUCCUCCGAGGCGGGUGAAGAGGAGCACCCCUCCCGUGCAUUAAUUGAUGAGCUUCGGAGAGGGGCGGAGAAGGAACGAUGGGACGGAUGGUAAUGAUGUAAGGACAGGAGUGAGGAGCUGUUCUCACCCGCAGGAGCCGUUGUACUCAAACUUUCCCUGGUUCAACUGCAUGGCCAGAUCUGAGAGGGAGAAUUAGAGAGGUGUUUAGGAACUGGGACACACAUCAGGUUCUCACAUUACUCACACAAAAAUCUAAUCUUAAACAAAACAAUUAACAAUUCAGUUAUAUAAUUCUAAUAACAUAAUAAUUUGUCAUUUAAUUGAUGCUUUUAUCUAAAGCAACUUUCAAUUGGUAAAUAUAUCUCAGGUCGCAGGGGUUGAGUAUGUUACUGUGGAAAUCGAACCCACGUCUCCCACACCAAACGCAUGUGUCUUAUUCACUCUACCAUCACCACCCCCAGUUCACUUGCAUCUGUUUCUGUGACGCCUGGCUGAAACAGAGGAAGAGGCUUUCUACAUUUUUCCUGAUUUGUCUCUCCUUUAACCAUUUAUCUCUGCAUCACAGAAGGUCCACCUCUUGUGUGACACACCUCCCCGCCCCCAAGCCAUGCACAUGCUCCACUCUCAACAAGCCAUAUGGUCUGACCCCUUUCACCGCUGGCCAUGGGGCAGCAGCUGUUUUCCAACAGGCAUCACUCACUGUAUAGGGUGUGUGUGUGUGUGUGUGUGUGUGGCAGCGACCGUUUGAGUUGCUGAAAUUCAUACUUUCCUUUUACGUUCUUUUUUCCUUUUUCAAAUAAUUGAUGGACAUUUUGAAUUGCCUUUGGGUAUAACAAAGUAGAUGUAUAAUUUUGGAACGCUAGAUUAUAAGAAUUUGAUUUGUGGACACUGGGUGGGAUUAAAUAAUUUUUUUUCCUUCCUCCCACUCCUUUACAAAUCUUUAAAGAAAUUGACAAGAGUUUCAAAAAAAAAUUGGCUGCAACUAUUAUUAAUUAUUGUGUUAUUUAAUCAUUUUGAUUUGCUUAUUUGAUUGCAUUUUCUUGUUGGAUGUUUCUGUUUUACAUAUAUAAAAAUUUGUGUUUAUAACAGAUAGUCUGAGUAACAAAAACAGAUGAAGUGGAUUAGGAGAUGUGUGUUUGUGCGUACUCAGGUUCAUGCAUGCUUUACCUGAUGCUGCAAAAUGACAUGCAAACCACUUGCAGAGACUAAGAUCUAAUUUGUGUUAAGUCUUCAGUGUGUAUUCUUAAGCAAGGCAAUGAUUGGCUCAGUGAAGUGAGGACAUCAUUUUUAUAUAGCAAUGUGGCCACAAAUAUCACAGCAUAGUCAUAGUUUCCCAUAAUAAAAUUCAGCAUUAGUCUUAUUUGCUUUAUGACUCACAUUAAACCAACCACAUAUCUCGACCCAAGAAACACUCUCACUCUAAAAUCUGUGGAUUAUGGGUCGCUGGGACAUCUGGAAUGACAUGUUGCUGUUGAAUGUUUCAAAUGUUAUCUUUCGAUGCUUUGAGCAACACAAAUGAAAUUUCACCCCAUUGUAUUAGAGUGAUGACAGUUUCAAGUUUCAGGCACAGAUAUCUGAAAACCUUAGCCCAUUAAAUCAAAGCUAUCAACAUACCACUAGCAGUAAGUGAAAAGGUGUGGGGUGAACGUUUAGUGAACUGACCCUUUAAACUAACAUUUCAAUCCAAACUGGAUACAAGUCAAAAUGUCCUCCUUGUUAUUCUUGGCAUGUGUAUAUUUGGAUGUAUGCAUGUGGAAGUCGGUUGGGCGAGUGAUUCUUGUUGAUUAGUGGAUGAAUAUGUGAGGUCAGAGAUUCAGUUCAUGACUGAGUGCUUGCAUUUGUAAACGCACAUGUGCUUUUAAUACGUACAUAUUGUAUGGAGUACUUGAUAUGGGUGUGUAUGAGGUCAGAGGGCCCAUGUUGUGUGCUGUGGUACCUGGGGUCUGGAAGUUGAGUGAAACCAUCUGGCAGCCUGCGUUCCAGAAGAUCUGAGGCAUAUAAUUACUGGAGUCCACCCGGCCCCCCUUGGGGUAGAUACGGCUCAUCUGACGCUUGUUGUAGCUGCACUGAUGCUCAGGACUUUUUUUAAAAAGAGGGAGAGCAUGUGUGUUCCAGCACAUGUGUGGGUAUGCAUUUGAGUGCUUGUGCGUCAAACAGACUGCCGAACUAUUUUUAGUGUGAACAGCUUGGGUCAAGCAGUCCCAUUGGGGAGAGCGAGAGAGGGGUAAAAUGUGUGUGUCAAGCCAAGUCACACAGUCCAAAGGCACACUAGCCUAUAGAGGCCUCCAGUUCUUUUCCGACAGUGGAAACAAAUAUGGCUGAAAAACAUCAGCUCUGACCUGCCUUUCAGCUCUCAUUUAGGUGACCUCAAUCUCUUAAGUUAAAACUACAUAAGUCUGGAGUAUUAGUAAAGAGCGAGCUUCAGCUGUCCGGCCCCAACUUUACUGUUUUGGUUCACUCUUGCUGCUCUCAUAGCGUUAAAACAUCCUGUUAAGAUUAUAGUGCAGAAGCACAAAUUGCAUGGAUGCCUUCAAUUUGGUCACUUUGCAAUUUUCAUUAUGAUAAAAACAUUUUCUGAUACAAAAUAAGUAGUAAAAGACGGGUAAAAUAAGUACUGUACUAUAACAAGUUGACCACUUCUAACAGUCUAUUUUUUGGGAUCUAUGUCUUCUUAAAUUGAUCAGAUAAAAUGCAGCACAGCUACGACUUGAAGCCCAAAGGAUACUUGACAAACUCUAUGGCAUUUGUCUUCAGAUAGCCCAGACCAACAGACUCGUUAAAAGACGACAUGUUAUGGUGGAUGUUCCUUUCUGAAAGACAGAGGAAAGGGAAUGAAAAGUUUUUGGAAUUAACAUCUUGGUACACUUUUAUUCUAAGUAUUCAUGAAGAAAAAACUUGAAGGGUCACAGUAGAGACACAUUAGAAAGUUGCAAAAUGCAUAAGGAGGAAGUCAUAGCUCACCCUCAGCCACAUCAAAACUCUGAAACUUGACGGGCUGUGCGUAGUUGACCAUGGCUGAGAGAUACGGGUGGAUGUUAGUGGUGGCUCCUACGUAGGUGUACUGAGCUAUCAGAGCCUCUUCAGAAUCUUCUGGCUCCUCCACACCCUGCACAGGCGCAAACAUACAUAAAUACUAUGUUUCACACACACUUAAAACUGGAUUGCUCUGAUGAAUUAAUCCAGACAUGAUGUUUGGUUUUUACUGGUUUUAGGUGUGUGUGUGUAGUGGCAGUUGUUUGCGUACCUUCUUGUUGUUGUCUUGGUCAGAUGCUUCUGAGAUAUCGGUGGCAUCUGUUGCUUCUGUGGCUUCCGAUAUCUCUGUCACUUCAUCUUCAGGCACCUGGAAUCACAGACAGAGGUUCCCUCUCAAUAUCCAUGUUUUGUUUUUUUUUGGUACAGGAAUAUGACAUUAACAUGUGAUAUGUAAACUAUAUGGAUGCUGCAUUUAUCAAACUAUAACACUGUGGAACUUGAUGCGAUUUAGACCAUAAUACCACCCUGUUCUAUAUUUAGGUAAAGCUAAUGAAGAAAGCAACCAUUUACAGUUGUGAAGCCAAAUCUCACUGUGUCAGUGAGAUCUACUGUGCGCCAAAGGCAUUUUAGUAUUUCAGAAGCCAAACAAUCCAUUAAGUGUCAACCCACCUUCUUGAUACUGUUGCUGCCUUCUUCCUCUUUCCUUGAGCUGACAGCAUUACUCUGGGAAACACUGUUGGUGUCUUUCUCACUGGUUGCUUCUGAUAGGAUGCUGGGGGCCUCUGAAUUCAAAUCCUUGUCCUCAGCAUCCUUUUCCCCUACAGGCACACAAACAUUUAUUUUGGAGCACACGUUUUAUCCAAACCUUAAUAUUUUUUGAUUAGUUUUAACAAGCUGUGACACUAAGAGAAAGUGCAUUCACUUGAUGCAGCCUUUAGAAAAUGUCUUGUUUAUGGAAAAAAUAUUAAAAUGAAAUUUUCCCUUCAAA